rnacentral:sRNA from 1 species
ACCUACAGCAUUUGUAACAUUGGACUAC